GCAAACUUGGUCAUUUAGAGGAAGUAAAAGUCGUAACAAGGUUUCCGUAGGUGAACCUGCGGAAGGAUCAUUAUCGAGUUUUUGAAGCGAGGCUUGCUGCUGGUGCGGAAACGCGCAUGUGCACGGCUUUCGCGCUCAAAUCCACUCAACACCUGUGCACCUAUAUCUGGUUGAAGCGAGUAGUUCGGGCUCCUGUAGGCGGAGUAAUGAGUAGAAAGGAGGCACAGUCUUCCGUUUGAAAGUGAAAUGUCUCGGCUCGAGUGAAAGCUUCGACUUGUUUUUAUAAACCACACUUGUUGUCUUGUGAAUGUAAUGCUCCCUGUGAGCGAUAAUUAAAUACAACUUUCAACAACGGAUCUCUUGGCUCUCGCAUCGAUGAAGAACGCAGC
rnacentral:misc_RNA from 1 species